rnacentral:lncRNA from 1 species
ACCUGGUUGACAAACCUUUACGGCUCUAUUAUAUUUUACGCUAUAAAUGUCAUGUCUUAGCUCACUAACAAAUUGAGAAGGAACCUAUAAAUAUAACAGGAAAACAAAAAGGAAAAACAAAAGAAAAUAUUCAAUAAAUAACACAAAAACCAACCAACUUUAUCAUAGAAACUUCAAAAAGAACAUAGAAAUACCAAAAAAAGAUCUUUUCAAAUGAAUAUACCUUCCCCAGUAACCACACAGUUGACAUUCUAUAGUACCGCACCACGCCAGCAAACUGCUUCUAUGAUGGUGUUCGAAGCUCCCGGCCCAAACAUUAGCCACCCAAGUGCCUGCCCAAGUUUUCGGUUAUGACAUUGUAUCGUACAGUUUUAAUAUGAUUAAAUUAACUGCCAUUUACAACAUAAAUUACCUAACAAGCGCUGGCCCCGCCUGAGACAUAAGACCACCGCAUCAGUUGGAAUAGCCUGGGUUGCCUCCACCGUCAAAUUCGGCCCCUUAGGCUUAUUUUGGUUUCACGGAGGGAUAAGAUGGAAUAGAUUGUAUGACUUGGAGUGUACUGUAGAACACUAUUUAAUAUGCGUAAAAACACAUUUUGUCUGUAAGAUUAACAGGGACAAAAUGAUUAGAAAUUCAGUUUUACAUUUGGAUUGCAUGCUUUAUUUGGAUAAAACAUAAAAUAACCAAUAUACCCAAAUGAUGUUUAUGCAGUAGACACAACCAAGACGACCUAAAAUAAACACUGAUAAACAGUAAAAACAUAUCAAAAUGAAUAUGUUCAUGUAACAUAACACUAAUGUAGACGAAGAUCAUUAUUGCACAAAAAAUUCAAAUAUCCAGAUUACUAACAACUUCCUUUUUCACAUGUCCGGUAUACUACAUGGUGAUCUUAACACAAACAACAGUAGCUACAUUACAUUUCUAAUCAAUUUGCUGUCAUAUUUCCAAAAUUUCGAUAAACCUUCGUAUGGCACAACAUAUUUGCCACAUGCUACACUUCGUUUUGGUGGCACUUCAGGCCCACCAGCAACAUCUCUCUUUGCACAGCAGAAUUGGACAAUAGAAUCACCAUCAUCUACCUUAAAAACACCUUAAUUACAAAUAACCGAGAGGCAAGCUGAAAAUUUUCAAACAAUUACUAUAAUAAGUAUUUUCAAGACGUGUUUUGAUUGACCUCUAAUUUAGAGAAGCAAAAAAACCCUCAGAAUUUCUAGCAGAUAAUCACAUCGUGCUACUUGCAAAUGCAUGCAACAACUCAAAAUCCAAAUAUCUCUUUGUUCCUGCAUUUUCUUCUUUCUAUUCCAUUAAAGUAAUGGCUCAGAACAAUUUAAUUGAAUGGGAAUCACAACCCAAAACUCAUUUUACAAAAUAUAUCAGCAAAAAUAUUGAUGUCAUCUAACAAAAGUAUAUCUUCUAAGAAUUUAACUAAUUUGUAUUGAAAUUCAGCAAAUACAUUAACUCAAAUUUAAUAACAAAGCAAUAACUCAACUCAAUAUUUGAACCCAAUACCUUAGAUUACAAAAAUAUAUUUUCUAAAAUUACGUAUGGCCACCCUUGCCCCAUUACACCUCCACCACUGGUGUGUGUAAAAAAAAAUUAUACUAUAGCAGGGAAUUGACUUAUUUAAUCAAGAUGUCAAUAGGAUUAAAUUCAAAUUGUAUAUAAAGGCACGAAUACUUUCAGCAUUACAAUUUUUACCUCAUCAAUGUUGUCUUCAAACAUCUCCACAGUUGCCAAGUCAUUUACCACCCUUCGUGCCCAAAUAUAGUGGGUUGAGUGGUGACUCACCAAACUUGAAGAUAAUUCGUAAAAUUGAAAAUAAAUCAACCAGAAGAUGAUUAAUCCAAAGGAACUAAAUAAAAUAAAUACGAAAAAAAUUAAUGAAGACAGGUAAGAUAUCAAGAUGCUAUGAGUAUGGAACUGAAGGGGAAUUAGGACUUCUGUCGAUAGAAGAGAGCAGAGUGAUUUUUGUAGGGUUUUUUUGCAAACACCACCCCUGUAUAAUCUCAAAUUGCUGAAAAAACCAUUGUGGUAAAAGAAUUAGCAAAAACCCCUAUGAAAAUUAGUCAAAUGCAAUAAGGCCACUGCGAGCCGAACGUGUGUAGCAUUCGUGAAAUGUUCGAAUCGGGGUGUGGUUUUGACGCAAAAAUACUCAAAAAUCCUUUAAAUAAGAAAUUUAAAAAAAUAUAAAUUCACCCCAUAAUUUUAAUAAAGCCCAAAAUAAAUUUCUCAAAAUUUUCAAUUCAAUCCCCAAUAUUUUCUAUAAAGCCAUCUUCCCAACCUAAACCCACACCCCAAAACCAAAUUUCUCUUCUCCACCACACACCUACAACCACCAAAAGUUUCUCUCACCAUCUAAUAACCCAAUACAAAUCAACAAACAAAAGGGAAACUGAAAUUCAAUCAAAGCCAAAAAUGAAAUCCAUUUGUAAUUCCAUUAUAGACCGUAUAUUUUUCUGAGAGUGAGAGAGAGAGAGAGAGACACGAUAUCAGCUCUUUGAAAAAGCCAAUUAUGCUCGCAGUUUAAUUACAAA